rnacentral:tRNA from 1 species
GGCGUGGACGCACAAUCCGGUUGUGCACUGGCCUGAACAGUCAGCGAGAUACCCAUCUCAUGCGGGUUCAAAUCCCGCCCACGCCG